rnacentral:rRNA from 1 species
UGGGGAAUAUUGCACAAUGGGCGCAAGCCUGAUGCAGCCAUGCCGCGUGUAUGAAGAAGGCCUUCGGGUUGUAAAGUACUUUCAGCGGGGAGGAAGGGAGUAAAGUUAAUACCUUUGCUCAUUGACGUUACCCGCAGAAGAAGCACCGGCUAACUCCGUGCCAGCAGCCGCGGUAAUACGGAGGGUGCAAGCGUUAAUCGGAAUUACUGGGCGUAAAGCGCACGCAGGCGGUUUGUUAAGUCAGAUGUGAAAUCCCCGGGCUCAACCUGGGAACUGCAUCUGAUACUGGCAAGCUUGAGUCUCGUAGAGGGGGGUAGAAUUCCAGGUGUAGCGGUGAAAUGCGUAGAGAUCUGGAGGAAUCCCGGUGGCGAAGGCGGCCCCCUGGACGAAGACUGACGCUCAGGUGCGAAAGCGUGGGGAGCAAACAGG